GAUGAACGCUGGCGGCGUGCCUAAUACAUGCAAGUAGAACGCUGAAGGAAGGAGCUUGCUCUUUCCGGAUGAGUUGCGAACGGGUGAGUAACGCGUAGGUAACCUGCCUGGUAGCGGGGGAUAACUAUUGGAAACGAUAGCUAAUACCGCAUAACAGUAGAUGUUGCAUGAUAUCUACUUAAAAGGUGCAAUUGCACCACUACCAGAUGGACCUGCGUUGUAUUAGCUAGUUGGUGAGGUAACGGCUCACCAAGGCGACGAUACAUAGCCGACCUGAGAGGGUGAUCGGCCACACUGGGACUGAGACACGGCCCAGACUCCUACGGGAGGCAGCAGUAGGGAAUCUUCGGCAAUGGACGGAAGUCUGACCGAGCAACGCCGCGUGAGUGAAGAAGGUUUUCGGAUCGUAAAGCUCUGCUGUAAGAGAAGAACGAGUGUGAGAGUGGAAAGUUCACACUGUGACGGUAUCUUACCAGAAAGGGACGGCUAACUACGUG
rnacentral:rRNA from 1 species